rnacentral:ncRNA from 2 species
GCUUUCCUUCGGGGUCAGGUGAAAUUCCUAACCGGCGGUGAUCGGGAAGGUACAGUCAUAUCGGAUAACCGGUGCCUGUGCCUCUCGUCAGUCCGUGACCCGGGCUAAUGAGCUUUUUCUAUUCGUAUUAUUGCGUAUAGAAGCGAUUUAGAACGGUGGACCUGGUGCAAAUCCGGGACCGACAGUAUAGUCUGGAUGGGAGAAGGAGAUG